UUGAGCGGCAAGGCGGGGUAACCCGCCCUAGAGCGGCGGACUGGUGAGUAACGCGUGGUAAUCUACCUUGGGCAUGGGGAUAGCCACUAGAAAUAGUGGGUAAUACCGAAUACGUUCCACGGGGGAAGGGCUUGUGGAAGAAAGGGUGCUACGGCACUGGCCUGAGAUGAGCUCGCGUCCCAUUAGCUAGUUGGUGAGGUAACGGCCCACCAAGGCGAUGAUGGGUAGCCGGCCUGAGAGGGUGUACGGCCACACUGGGACUGAGAUACGGCCCAGACUCCUACGGGAGGCAGCAGCUAAGAAUAUUCCGCAAUGGACGGAAGUCUGACGGAGCGACGCCGCGUGGAUGAUGAAGGCCGAAAGGUUGUAAAGUUCUUUUGCUGGGGAAGAAUAAGCCUAGGAGGGAAUGCCUAGGUGAUGACAUGAACCGGCGAAUAAGCCCCGGCCAACUGCGUGCCAGCAGCCGCGGUAACACGUAGGGGGCGAGCGUUGUUCGGAAUUACUGGGCGUAAAGGGCAUGUAGGCGGUCUGGUAAGCCUGGCGUGAAAGACUGCAGCUUAACUGCAGGGAUGCGCUGGGAACUGCUGGGCUUGAGUGACGGAGAGGGAGCUGGAAUUCCUGGUGUAGGGGUGAAAUCUGUAGAUAUCAGGAAGAACACCGAUGGCGAAAGCAAGCUCCUGUCCGAUGACUGACGCUUAAGUGGGAAAGUGGGGGGGAUUAAACAGGGUUAAAUACCUUGGUUAGCCCACCAAUCCACCAAUGUGCCUUAGGGCGGGGGGCGGUUACCCCCCGGGGCCGGAACAAAACUGGUAAAUGGCACC
rnacentral:rRNA from 1 species